GCUCUGCGCCUGCGCCCGAGAGCUGGGGCUCCGCGGCGCUCGUUCUGAGGAGCCCCUGCCGCGGUGGGUGCCGGGGAGUCGGCGACGGAGAGCCGCGGUCCACGGAGGACCGCGCCGACCCGUGUGGUUGUGGAUAGCGUCCCAGGAAAACUGGCUAGGACCUCCAGUACAAUGCUGAAGAGACCUGAUGACAGCAGAUGUCUUUGUUCUGUUUCCAGUCUUGUAAAGUCAGCUAAGUAACUGGCUGAUAUAUAAUCAACCAUCAGAUAGACAAAGCUGUCAGAAAAAAUAUGAGUUAAGGAAAGGCAAGGAAGACAUCCAGAUGGCCAAGAGACACAUGGAAAAAUGUUCAACAUCACUUGGCAUCAGGGAAAUACAAAU